UAGAGGAAGUAAAAGUCGUAACAAGGUCUCCGUAGGUGAACCUGCGGAGGGAUCAUUACAGAGUUCAUGCCCUCCGGGUAGAUCUCCCACCCAUUGCUAUAACUACUCUCGUUGCUUUGGCGGGCCGCUGGGCCCUGCCCGGCCGCCGGCCCCGGCUGGCGCGUGCCCGCCAGAGACCUCACAGACUCUGAAUGUUAGUGUCGUCCGAGUAACUAUAUAAUCGUUAAAACUUUCAACAACGGAUCUCUUGGUUCUGGCAUCGAUGAAGAACGCAGCGAAAUGCGAUAAGUAAUGCGAAUUGCAGAAUUCAGUGAGUCAUCGAAUCUUUGAACGCACAUUGCGCCCUGUGGUAUUCCGCAGGGCAUGCCUGUUCGAGCGUCAUUUCAACCCUCAAGCCUCGCUUGGUGUUGGGCCCUGCCCGCCGCGGCCGGCCCUAAAGACAGUGGCGGCGCCGCCUGGCCCUCAGCGUAGUACAUCUCUCGCUCCAGGGUCCGGCGGCAGCCUGCCAGAACCCCCCCAACUCUGUGGUUGACCUCGGAUCAGGUAGGGAUACCCGCUGAACUUAAGCAUAUCAAUAA
rnacentral:rRNA from 1 species